rnacentral:rRNA from 1 species
CAGUCGCCGCGGUAAUACAGAGGGUGCGAGCGUUAAUCGGAUUUACUGGGCGUAAAGCGUGCGUAGGCGGCUUCUUAAGUAGGAUGUGAAAUCCCUGAGCUUAACUUAGGAAUUGCAUUCGAUACUGGGAAGCUAGAGUAUGGGAGAGGAUGGUAGAAUUCCAGGUGUAGCGGUGAAAUGCGUAGAGAUCUGGAGGAAUACCGAUGGCGAAGGCAGCCAUCUGGCCUAAUACUGACGCUGAGGUACGAAAGCAUGGGGAGCAAACAGGAUUAGAUACCCGCGUAGUCCCUGUCUCUUAUAC